UUUUCAGUAAAGUUGGGCAGCGAGCCUUAACGAAGCGAGGGCUGUUAUCACCUCUCCUUAGCCCUUUAAGUGCAGCAGGCUCUUUGGUGUCUCUCGCUGAAUGCCGCUUUGUUAAUUGCGACGGUAAACAGGACACAGCGCUGACCAUCGCCGUGUUUUGCUCAGGCGGCACUUACCACAAAACCACUGGAUUUGGGAAAGGAGCCUGAGUCCAGGGGGAGUCACACACGAAAGAGGAUAUUUCUGGAUACUGUCACAGCAUCUGAGGAACCAUAUUCCAGCUGUUCUCAGACUUUUCCAUUUCUGGAAGCCUACCCCUCCUUCAGCUCCAACCACAGAUGUCCACACAAUAGAAAUUCAGUCAUUCUCCAAGAGGCAACUUGCUUGAUGACAAUCAGCAGUCCUGUCACUUUCAGAUGUCACCAACUAUCUCUUGCUGCUGCUUUACUUCAGGUUUGAAGUUCCCUCUGCUCUUUGCUCUUUUCUGCUUGAAAAAUCCUUCCCACCCUGGUGUCUAAAUACUUGGGAAAGGAUUUUCAAAACACCCAAAAAUGUAUGCGGGAUACUUCAGAUUUUGUUUAAAAAGAAAGAAAAAAGGAAUAAACCUUCAGAGCCCUAUUUGAUUCCUCAUGUCUUUAAACUCAACACUAAUAUACAGAACUAGACUGGAUCCUAAUUUCUAAUAACUUGUAGUAAGUUAAUAUUCUAGUUAAUUUUUACAAUAUUACAUAUUAAGCUUACCUUUAUGUUGAUCACUUGAACACAUGCUAUGUUGCUCAAAUAUGUACAUGUAGAAUGCUUGGUGUGUACCCACAAAUAAUAAAGAAAGAAUUAAACUG